rnacentral:rRNA from 1 species
UGGGGGAUAUUGGACAAUGGGCGCAAGCCUGAUCCAGCCAUGCCGCGUGAGUGAUGAAGGCCCUAGGGUUGUAAAGCUCUUUCACCGGUGAAGAUAAUGACGGUAACCGGAGAAGAAGCCCCGGCUAACUUCGUGCCAGCAGCCGCGGUAAUACGAAGGGGGCUAGCGGUUGUUCGGAAUUACUGGGCGUAAAGCGCACGUAGGCGGACAUUUAAGUCAGGGGUGAAAUCCCGGGGCUCAACCCCGGAACUGCCUUUGAUACUGGGUGUCUAGAGUUCGAGAGAGGUGAGUGGAAUUCCGAGUGUAGAGGUGAAAUUCGUAGAUAUUCGGAGGAACACCAGUGGCGAAGGCGGCUCACUGGCUCGAUACUGACGCUGAGGUGCGAAAGCGUGGGGAGCAAAACAGGAUUAGAUACCCUGGUAGUCCACGCCGUAAACGAUGGAAGCCAGCUGUCGGCAAGUUUACUUUGUCGGUGGCGCAGCUAACGCAUUAAGCUUCCCCGCCUGGGGGAGUACGGGUCGCAAGAUUAAAAAC